rnacentral:rRNA from 1 species
UACGGAGGGUGCGAGCGUUGUCCGGAAUCACUGGGCGUAAAGGGCGCGUAGGCGGCGCGAGGAGUCGGGGGUGAAAGUCCGGGGCUCAACCCCGGAUCGGCCUUCGAUACUCUCGCGCUGGAGCACAGUAGAGGCGGGUGGAAUUCCGGGUGUAGCGGUGGAAUGCGUAGAGAUCCGGAAGAACGCCGGUGGCGAAGGCGGCCCGCUGGGCUGUGGCUGACGCUGAGGCGCGACAGCGUGGGGAGCAAACAGG